GAUGAACGCUGGCGGCGUGCCUAAUACAUGCAAGUCGAGCGAACGGACGAGAAGCUUGCUUCUCUGAUGUUAGCGGCGGACGGGUGAGUAACACGUGGAUAACCUACCUAUAAGACUGGGAUAACUUCGGGAAACCGGAGCUAAUACCGGAUAAUAUUUUGAACCGCAUGGUUCAAAAGUGAAAGACGGUCUUGCUGUCACUUAUAGAUGGAUCCGCGCUGCAUUAGCUAGUUGGUAAGGUAACGGCUUACCAAGGCAACGAUGCAUAGCCGACCUGAGAGGGUGAUCGGCCACACUGGAACUGAGACACGGUCCAGACUCCUACGGGAGGCAGCAGUAGGGAAUCUUCCGCAAUGGGCGAAAGCCUGACGGAGCAACGCCGCGUGAGUGAUGAAGGUCUUCGGAUCGUAAAACUCUGUUAUUAGGGAAGAACAUAUGUGUAAGUAACUGUGCACAUCUUGACGGUACCUAAUCAGAAAGCCACGGCUAACUACGUGCCAGCAGCCGCGGUAAUACGUAGGUGGCAAGCGUUAUCCGGAAUUAUUGGGCGUAAAGCGCGCGUAGGCGGUUUUUUAAGUCUGAUGUGAAAGCCCACGGCUCAACCGUGGAGGGUCAUUGGAAACUGGAAAACUUGAGUGCAGAAGAGGAAAGUGGAAUUCCAUGUGUAGCGGUGAAAUGCGCAGAGAUAUGGAGGAACACCAGUGGCGAAGGCGACUUUCUGGUCUGUAACUGACGCUGAUGUGCGAAAGCGUGGGGAUCAAACAGGAUUAGAUACCCUGGUAGUCCACGCCGUAAACGAUGAGUGCUAAGUGUUAGGGGGUUUCCGCCCCUUAGUGCUGCAGCUAACGCAUUAAGCACUCCGCCUGGGGAGUACGACCGCAAGGUUGAAACUCAAAGGAAUUGACGGGGACCCGCACAAGCGGUGGAGCAUGUGGUUUAAUUCGAAGCAACGCGAAGAACCUUACCAAAUCUUGACAUCCUUUGACAACUCUAGAGAUAGAGCCUUCCCCUUCGGGGGACAAAGUGACAGGUGGUGCAUGGUUGUCGUCAGCUCGUGUCGUGAGAUGUUGGGUUAAGUCCCGCAACGAGCGCAACCCUUAAGCUUAGUUGCCAUCAUUAAGUUGGGCACUCUAAGUUGACUGCCGGUGACAAACCGGAGGAAGGUGGGGAUGACGUCAAAUCAUCAUGCCCCUUAUGAUUUGGGCUACACACGUGCUACAAUGGACAAUACAAAGGGCAGCGAAACCGCGAGGUCAAGCAAAUCCCAUAAAGUUGUUCUCAGUUCGGAUUGUAGUCUGCAACUCGACUACAUGAAGCUGGAAUCGCUAGUAAUCGUAGAUCAGCAUGCCACGGUGAAUACGUUCCCGGGUCU
rnacentral:rRNA from 1 species